rnacentral:rRNA from 1 species
GACGAACGCUGGCGGCGUGCUUAACACAUGCAAGUCGAACGGAAAGGCCCUGCUUUUGUUGGGUGCUCGAUUGGCGAACGUGUGAGUAACACGUGAGUAUCCUGCCCUUUACUUUGGUAUAACUUCAGGUAACUGGGUCUAAUACCGUAUAGGUGCUCCUGCUGCAUGGUGGGGGUUGGAAAGUUUCGGCGGUUGGGGAUGGACUCGCGGCUUAUCAGCUUGUUUGUUGGGUAGUUGCUUACCAAGGGUUUGACGGGUAGCCGGCCUGAGAGGGUGACCGGCGAAAUUGGGACUGAGAUACGGACCAGACUCCAACGGGAGGCAGCAGUGGGGAAUAUUGCACAAUGGGCGGAAGCCUGAUGCAGAAACGCGGCGUGCGGGAUGACGGCCUUCGGGUUGUAAAACGCUUUCGCCUGUGACGAAGCGUGAGUGACGGUAAUGGGUAAAGAAGCACCGGCUAACUACGUG